rnacentral:misc_RNA from 1 species
GAAAUGCGAUAAGUAAUGUGAAUUGCAGAAUUCAGUGAAUCAUCGAAUCUUUGAACGCACAUUGCGCCCGCCAGUAUUCUGGCGGGCAUGCCUGUUCGAGCGUCAUUUCAACCAUCAAGCCCCCGGCUUGUGUUGGGGACCUGCGGCUGCCCGCAGGCCCUGAAAAACAGUGGCGGGCUCGCUGUCACACCGAGCGUAGUAGCAUACAUUCUCGCUCAGGGCGUGCUGCGGGUUCCGGCCGUUAAACGACCUUCAUAACCCAAGGUUGACCUCGGAUCAGGUAGGAAGACCCGUUGAACUUAAGC